CAGCAGAAUUUGUACGUUCUUUUGGCUGCACCGCGUGAAGGAAGCAGGACUGGUUCGUGAGCACUCAGCUCGUCGUCGAAAAUUCCCUCUUUUCAGAGGCAUUACGCCUUCCGACAGCAGUUUGACCAUCAUGAAGUUGAUGAAAAAGGAAAAGGAGUACGAGGACAUUGGGAGAAAAAAGAAACUUGUAUGCGAGAUAAUCCUUCAAGAAACAUUUGAAGAUGCUUGUGGAAAGAAUGGGAGUGCAAGUAUGCAGAAAUACUGAGUACAAGUAUACAGGAACACCGAGGAAUUAAGAUAGUUCAAGAAACACUUGAAGAUGCUUGUGGAAAGAGUAGGAGUGCAAGUAUGCAGGAAUACUGUAUACAAGCAUGCAGGAAUACUGAGUGUUAAGACUUCUCAAGAAGCAUUGGAAGAUGCUUGUGUACAGAAUUGACAAAAAUGCUUCUAUUUUUGGCAGUCAUUAUUUCGCAGUCAAGUGACAAUAACAUGAAAGUAUGAACCAAUGAUAGUUCAAGAAACGCGUGAAGAUGCUUGUGGAAAGAAUAGGAGUGCAAGUAUGCAGGAAUACUGUAUACAAGUAUGCAGGAAUACUGAGGAGUUAAGUCUGAUGAGACUGGUCUAAUAAAGCCUGCUUGGUUCACCAUCUAAGUCAUCAGCAAGAAAUAGCACAUCAAACUGAAGACCAAGUUAGGAAUCCCAAGCUGGUCAUACAAAGCAACAUCAACAAUGUUUCAAGCAUAAAAGACGAAUCUCGGAGCAUCUUUCUUGGAGCACUGUAUGAUGAUGAAAAUGGUCUGUGGUACUGUGAUAUACAACAACCGGGAUAGUUGAGUAUAGAGAUAUCAACACAACUAAUUCAUUCUUGACAGAUAUAAAGAUCGCGUCAUGGAGUUUCUUGCCUCUGCUUGCAGGCUAUUGCGACGUAAUCUGUCUUUUCUAGUGAAUGAACGGUCUCGUGAUACGCAACCAACGUGAUGCUGGGGAUAUCAGCAUUUCUCAUUCCUCCUGAAAAGAUUUUGCCUCUGACAUCCGGAAUUAGAUCUUACAAGAAAUUAAAAUUGGAUCGUAACGUCGGCUGAUACGAGUAAGGCUGACCAUAAUCCAAGAGAUGAUGACCAUGACCCACUACACCAAGGUCAAAGAUUGUUCUGUUGAUUUUCUGCGGCGGCAUUGCUGAUGAUUCUUUUAGGCUUUUGUUUCGGACUGCUGCAAAUUUAUUUUAGUGUUUUUAUUUUUUAAAAUUAUUUAAUUAUGUUUGUUAAUUUUGUUUAAACAUUGGGUGUGUGUUAGAUAUUAAUUAUACCAGUAAAACAAUUCAGUUGACUUCUGUAAAACAAGACCACUGGGACUGGCCAAAUUACCAGGACACAAGAACUAAAGAAACACAAAGAAGAAAUGAGUUUUGGGACUUACGGAAGGUACUCUUUCAGAACCUCCAACAGUGGUACUUAGAAUGAGGGUUGAAUGUAUGUGUGUUAUAAAUAGUUUGAGGGAGAUUGACACAUUUGCAUGACAUUGGGGAUAACAAAUAAUAAUUUUGGUUGUGCACCAAAAAUGCAAAGGUCGUGGGUUUGAAUCCCAGGCAAGUAAUAUUUUUUUCACGGAACUCGAGAAAGUACUGAGAAUACUUGCAGUGCUAAUCUGUGUAAGGUGAAAACCAUCAUUAAAGACACUAAACACUAUUGAUAAUUGUCAAAAACCAGUCUUCUCACUUGCUGUAGCUCUACAUAUGCAUUAAAUAACAAGCAUGUG